AACGAACGCUGGCGGCAUGCCUAACACAUGCAAGUCGAACGAGACCUUCGGGUCUAGUGGCGCACGGGUGCGUAACGCGUGGGAACCUGCCCUUAGGUUCGGAAUAACUCCCCGAAAGGGGUGCUAAUACCGGAUAAUGUCUUCGGACCAAAGAUUUAUCGCCUUUGGAUGGGCCCGCGUUGGAUUAGCUAGUUGGUAGGAUAAAAGCCUACCAAGGCGACGAUCCAUAGCUGGUCUGAGAGGAUGAUCAGCCACACUGGGACUGAGACACGGCCCAGACUCCUACGGGAGGCAGCAGUGGGGAAUAUUGGACAAUGGGCGAAAGCCUGAUCCAGCAAUGCCGCGUGAGUGAUGAAGGCCUUAGGGUUGUAAAGCUCUUUUACCCGGGACGAUAAUGACAGUACCGGGAGAAUAAGCUCCGGCUAACUCCGUG
rnacentral:rRNA from 1 species